GACUCCUCUAGGGUUUGCGGCCGCCGUUGGGAUAGCACCGACAGCUACUGUGGAGAUUGCGGGGCAAGGGUAGAUUGCAGGACGAUCGAUCUGAAGGAUGGGAGGAACUUCACGCAGAGGGCAUGAACAAGCCCAUCAACAUCCUCAAGGGCAAGCUCGAGCCGCAGUUCAUCUCCGAGGACUCAUGAUGCUCUACCUGGUUUCCGCCCUCAAGAGGUAAUCAAUUUGAAAAUUGCAGCAAAUUGUUGAGCCAAACUGAGUUAAUCGAUCCGAAUUGUAAGGUAAUCAGGCGCAAUAUCGUUUGUAAGUUUGUAACAUAUUUAGUUGUGUUUGGUACCUGAGCAAGAGGUGGGUACCUCUUGAAACUGAAUAUGAUAAAAUUUCCUGUUCAAUUUCUGGUUUUUAUGUCUAUAAGAAUACUCAACGUAUUCGUGACACAGAUCACUUAUUCUUGGAGCUUCUUCUACUGAGUGAUAUAUAAGUUGGUAAACUACAUCAGCAAGACUCCAUAGCUGGCAUAUGGAGUCAAAAUUAAUGCUACUCCAGAAAGAAACGCAUGGUUGAAGGAAGGGUUAAAGUAACGCUGUACACCAGAGAUCUUAAAUGGGGAGUUCUGAAGAUAAUCUGUUGUUAUGCAUUAUCUUAUUUCUCAUUUCUCAUUUCGGACUGUUUGCAUGUGUUCUGCGUUUGGUUUGAUGCAACAGUUGGGUAUAUCUGUCAGAACAUCCUGUACGCCUUAUUGGGAGAAGUGGUGGAAGAAUACUGAAUUACUGAUAAUGCAGAGUUGUUCCUGUUCAUGCAUAAAGAUAAUGUUCCAUUUCUCAAUAGUACUUUCAGCCACGAGUAGGUUUGUUUUCACUUUGCCCUAAAAAUAGGACUGAAAAUGUGAAUUAUGAUUUCUUACUGAAUAUUCGACUAUUCGUUCAGUCAACUCCUUUGAUUGUUCAGAAUUAUUUUUGUAAGGAUAUUUUAUUUUAUUUUAUUUUGUAACCAGUAGUUAAAUCACGCAAAAUCUGCAAAAGCACGCCUUUCAGAAGCCUGCCUAAUGCGACCUGUACUGAAAGGCAUGGAUAUCAUUUGUAUACUGAUUUUUCUUCUAAUGCCUGUACUUUUUCUCCAUGAAGUAAUUAUUUGCUUGAAGCUAAUUUUCUGGUCAUGGUCCAUUCAACACUACUGGGAACUGCUGAAAACUAGACAAUGAUGAAGACCAUAAGUGUCACAGAAUAUUUAAACUAUGAAGCAAGUAUAGUAUCCACAUUUUUGUUUGAACCUGUCACUUGAUUAUACCGAGUAUGUUCCAAAAUAUUUAAGGUCAUGUUUGAAGGUAAUUUUCAGGUCAUGUUCCAUUCAACACUACUGGGACUGCUGAAAACUGGACAAUGAUGAAGACCAGUGCUACAAAAUAUUUAAACUAUGAUGCAAGUAUAGUUUCCACAUUUUUGUUUGAACCUAACACAUGAUUAUACCGUGUCAUUUUCUUAGUUUGCCUUAGGAAAAUUUGGUGGUAUGUGGUUAAAGUGAUUCAGAUUAUUACUUCCUGGAUUGACAACCAUUCUUUUUCCAUGAGUCACGUAAUGUGAAUCAACACUCGGCCAAACUCCACACGUCAAAUGAACUAUAGUAUCCCGUGGCAACGCGCGGGGCAUCAACUAGUUUUUUCAAAGGGAGUUUCAGGGCGCAGACGUAUAUUAGGCACACACAGACACGGGCAUAUAAACCCAUUAGCAACUACUUGCACUUGCAUGUUUUAAAAAAUGAUUCAGCACUGUGUGUCAUAUUAGCAUAUGAGCAUGGCAAAAAUUGUAUGAUUUUUAUUUGCAAGAAAUAGAAAAAAAAUUGGCAUAGUAACAAUGUAUUCAGAAAUUUGUCGCUCUUGUACAGUUCACGAACAAUUAUUUUGUGACAGAUUUUCUUACUAAGCAUAGCCUCAUAAAUUGCAUGAUGUAUUGUGUAUUCUGCUGGUCAGAGUUCUAGCUAUUUAAAACGAUGGCUGUUGUAUAUAUUAUUUUAGUAUUGAAAGCAAAUCUGCAGAUAGUGUCUAGUUCUAGCUAUUUAAACCAAAAUAGUAUUUUGUAUUCUGAUAGUCCCGGUUUUAUACCCCGCGCGCGCACACAAGGCCAUUCUCUUCUGUUAUUUGUCGAGGCGUACUUAGUACUAUCAAAUUAUAGUAUAUAGUAUCAACUUAGUAUUUAAAUCAAAUCUCUAUUGUGUAUUCAGAGUCACAUCUUCUGUUUUGGACUUGACUGGGAACUCUUCACAUACUCAGCUAUUUGGUUCUGAGGCACCCAAGGAAGCAAGACUAAACAAAGUGGAUACUUUUGGCCACUCAAACUGGAUGAUCAUGACAUCGAAAGAACAGUUCAUUUCCAUUACAACAUCAUUUUCAUCCUUUCUUGGUCUGUAAUAAUUCCCAGCCUUAUUGCUUGGUCUGCAGAAACAUAACUGUUCCUGAGCUAUUGCACAAGUAAUCAAGUACUCUGUUGCAUUAUCAUUUUUGCAAAAUUAUGUCAUGGUUAUGAUGAACUGUUGUUGCUAUGAUGAGAUAUUGAUUCCAAGUCAUGCAAAAAUUAAGUUGUUGCUGUG